AUUGGGUUGAAACGCUCGUCGGUCGACUUCCGGUUUCAAACGGAGACGUCGUGUUGUGAAGGACCUCCGAUGAGGACUCGAGGUAGCUGCGCAGGGUCACACUUUUUUGGUAAAUCUGGUUUCAUGCUACUGGAGGAACGUAUGAGGCCGUUGUCAUGACACUGAGGAAAGUGGUGCUGCCGCUGUGGGCUCCUUCAGGGAGGACCUGUACAGACCCCCCGGAGCCCCGUCGCCCCCCAUCGACCUGAUGCGGCACGUCAGGCAUCACGGCUCUACAGGUGCUGGAAGCCGCUCCUCCACUACAAACCCCGGGGGAGGACCUCCUCCGACGUGUGGGAGAAGUGGUUCAUUCAGGACCCCUGUGAACACUUUUCUGUACCCAAUGAGUCUUCUUACCUCACUUCUUUCCAGGAGCUCUGCCAUGGAGCUGCCAUGCAUCAUCUCAGAUACCUGGCGACACACUGAGCUGAAGCCUGAUGACGUCAGCAGGUCCGUUUACAUGCAGCUCAAUUCACUUUAUCUGCAUACUAGAGGAUUUGACUGCACACAGCCCGUCAUUACUUCAUGGAAAAGUAGUUUUAUGCUAAACAUUUAUAUCCUUUAACAGUAUUCCAUUGUUAUCGCCGUGCAGCAAAGUAACAUUGCACAUUUUAUAACGCCUGUUUUUUAAAAUGGCAUUUUAUGCAGACCACUAAUCAAGCCACACUUCUACAGAAAUCUGUUUACACCAUCUUAUGCGUUAUAGAAAAGGUUUUAUAUUGCCUUGCAGGUGUAAAUAUUUUUCCUCUUGGCACAUGAAGUAAGUUAUCAAGUCUUGUUUUUGUAGAUUAUGCAAUAUUUCCUCGGUGUAAAAUAAGGUGCAGUGAAACUGUAGCAACAGCAUGAAACCACUUUUGGAAAAAUAUGACAAAUUAAGGUUUUAGAGGAUUUUAUUACAUUUAUAGUAUAUCGUCUAUAUACAGUAUUCUGCAUGAACACAAAAUGACCUCUGGACAUUUAAAACCCAGUCGAUAUAUACACACACCAUAGAUGAAGUCCAUGUCUGGGAACAGAGUCCUAGACAAACUACUACAUGAGGCUGAGGCAUGUCGUCUAGGAUCAGGUCUGGAAACUGUCCGUCUUCCAGAUUCAAAGUUUAAAAGGGAACGAACGCAGACCCCGAAACCUUUCAAACGGGACUCUGAGCCAUGAGGCGUUCAAGGCACCCGACACGGGUUCUUUACAUCAGCAUGUGCACGCUGAUAAAUGUGCGUCUGCACCAACUGCAGACAAAGCCAGCCGCGCUCAUUUGAAGUCGGUGUUGAAGUCGUAGGCGUCAGCUUCUCCGCCAGCGGGGACGGACUGGAAGUGCACACGGCCCGUUGGUCCUGGAA